rnacentral:rRNA from 1 species
CAAAAACAUGUCCUUUUGAAUUUUAAUAAAAGGUCUGACCUGCCCAGUGAUUUAUUUAACGGCCGCGGUAUAUUGACCGUGCAAAGGUAGCAUAAUCAUUAGUCUUUUAAAAGAGGGCUGGAAUGAAAGGUUUGACGAAGUAUUAACUGUCUCAUUUUAUUUGAAAUUAAAAUUUAACUUUUGAGUCAAAAGGCUUAAAUUUUAUUGGAAGACGAGAAGACCCUAUAGAGCUUUAUAUUAAUUAAUUUAAUUAAUUAUAUAUAAUUUAUAAUUAUAUAAAUUAAUAUUUUGUUGGGGUGACAAAAAAAAAAACUAACUUUUUUAUUUAUUUNACAUUAAUAUAUGAUUAAUUGAUCCAUUAUUAUUGAUUAUUAGAUUAAGUU